AUUGAACGCUGGCGGCAGGCUUAACACAUGCAAGUCGAGCGGGGAAAGGUAGCUUGCUACCUGACCUAGCGGCGGACGGGUGAGUAAUGCUUAGGAAUCUGCCUAUUAGUGGGGGACAACAUUCCGAAAGGAAUGCUAAUACCGCAUACGCCCUACGGGGGAAAGCAGGGGAUCUUCGGACCUUGCGCUAAUAGAUGAGCCUAAGUCAGAUUAGCUAGUUGGUGGGGUAAAGGCCUACCAAGGCGACGAUCUGUAGCGGGUCUGAGAGGAUGAUCCGCCACACUGGGACUGAGACACGGCCCAGACUCCUACGGGAGGCAGCAGUGGGGAAUAUUGGACAAUGGGCGAAAGCCUGAUCCAGCCAUGCCGCGUGUGUGAAGAAGGCCUUUUGGUUGUAAAGCACUUUAAGCGAGGAGGAGGCUACUUUAGUUAAUACCUAGAGAUAGUGGACGUUACUCGCAGAAUAAGCACCGGCUAACUCUGUGCCAGCCGCCGAAGUAA
rnacentral:rRNA from 1 species